ACGUAGGGUGCGAGCGUUAAUCGGAAUUACUGGGCGUAAAGCGUGCGCAGGCGGUUUUGUAAGUCAGAUGUGAAAUCCCCGGGCUUAACCUGGGAACUGCGUUUGAAACUACAAGGCUAGAGUGUAGCAGAGGGGGGUGGAAUUCCACGUGUAGCAGUGAAAUGCGUAGAGAUGUGGAGGAACACCGAUGGCGAAGGCAGCCCCCUGGGCUAACACUGACGCUCAGGCACGAAAGCGUGGGGAGCAAACAGGAUUAGAUACCCUGGUAGUCCACGCCCUAAACGAUGUCAACUAGUUGUCGGGUCUUAACGGACUUGGUAACGCAGCUAACGCGUGAAGUUGACCGCCUGGGGAGUACGGUCGCAAGAUUA
rnacentral:rRNA from 1 species